GGUGGGAAAGAAACCUUGUGAGGAUGUCAGGUUAGGCUAAAAAAUCAAGCCCUCUGUGCUAGGCGGAGGCUGUUUGCAAUCCAUCGUGUCCAUGCCACACUCGCGGGCAGCGAUAUUACUGCUACCUUGAGUUUAAAACGCCGAAAAGGGAACUUCCACUUGCGAAGGCAGACACUCAGGAAACAGCAGCCACAUCCUAUCACACACACGUGACCCGACUUGGGUCUUGUUGUUCCCUGCUGCAAAAGACAGAAAUCCAGCAAGCGUGGUGUGAGACAGCUGGGUCACUGCAGCUUGCCAUGAGCUUACUGACAAGGUGGAUUCCUGUGCUAACUCCAUUUCUGCUUCUCUAUUUCUGUAGCGCCAAGGUCUCCGCUUCGGGAACGUCAGAAGAAGAGACAAUAGACACCAAGUAUGUAGUCAUCGGCGUUACUCUGGGACUCUUCCUAGCAAUUGGUUUUUUGGCUCUAAAGUUCUGCAUCAUCAAAAGACAAGUGAACGAAAACGAUUUUGCAGAAUCAGACAACAGAAUGGAUAGAAGGUAGUUGCUGCCUGUGACAUUGGCGGUAAGGCUGGUGAGGUACCACGUGCUCUUGUCACCCGCGGCAUCGUCAGGGAACAGAGAAGAAGUCAAGUUACAAGAACUGCAAAACGCACCCAACCACUAGCCAGUUUCGAAUGAGCUGUAUUCGGACUGGACAGUUAGCUCUUGCGGUACCUGAUGUCUGCAUCAAGGGGACGCCUUUGUCCUCGGGACUCUCUCUCCAUAUGCAAUGUUUUUGAAAAAAUGAACCAAGUGACUGAUUAGAGGAAAAGCUUUGUAGCAUGCACAACCGAAGGCCGUCUCUGCACUCCAAAAACGUUGGGCCAUACCAUGAACAUACCAUGAACAUACCAUGUUCUUGAGGAUGAAAGAAUGAUGGAAAUACCCAUUUUCAUGUUCAUUAAGAGUUCCUGUUUGUAAAUAAGAGCUUGUCUAUACUUAUCCAAGUAUCGGCGCUCUGGGGAUCGAUUUUCCGGUGUUCAAUGUAGAGGGUCUAGUGAAUACUGAAGGUACCCCUGUAAACCCUGGCACUUCUUGCAGUCAUCAAUCUCCUGCUUUGGGGCCAUCUUAGAAAAUCGAUGUAAGGUACGUUGACUCCAGCUAGGCAAUUGUAGUUGGCCUUGCAUAUCUUGACUUUGAUUUUCUCGGCCAGUGUAGACCUGGCCUAAGUGCUAAGUAUAUGAUUGAUUUCAUUCAAAAAUAAAAGAUGACCUAAAACUAGAGACAGAUUAAAGCAGCAACAUCCAGCUGCAUUCACACUGCAAGCCCCUCAGAGAUGGGACUGAAGGGAGAGGAAACGGGAAGGACCAGCCCAUUGCAAAUAUAGGGGCCAUUUGCAAAAUGUGGAGCAAGGUUUAGUUUUCAAACAUCAGACCCGGGGUAUAAAAGCUAUGAGUGUUCUGGUCCCGGGCCUUCAUUCUGUACCUGAACUAGAGAUAAUGGGACAUAAUCAUAGAAUUAUAGAACUGGAAGGAACCAUGGAGGGUCUAAAGUCCAGUUCCCUGUCCUUACAGCAGGAUCAUC